GAUUCGUUUCUUCGCCCUUCUUUCUCUUUGCGUAUCUCUGCAAUUUCGUAUUCUUUUUGUCGAUCUAAUUUCUCCGGCGACAUCAAGGGCUGAGAAUGGAAGCUCAUGGCAGCGGAUUACGCCGCGUGCUCGUGCUCGCCUUUUGCGUCGCCGGGAUUUGGUCUGCUUACAUUUAUCAAGGUGUUCUUCAGGAGACUCUGUCUACUAAGCGCUUUGGUUCCGACGGAAAGAGAUUUGAACACCUUUCCUUCCUUAACUUGGCACAAAACGUUGUCUGUUUAAUAUGGUCAUAUAUAAUGAUAAAGCUCUGGUCCAGUCGUAGCACUGUUGGUGCACCUUGGUGGACUUACUGGAGUGCUGGUAUUACGAAUACGAUUGGACCAGCUAUGGGGAUUGAAGCUUUGAAGUACAUAAGUUAUCCUGCCCAGGUCCUGGCAAAGUCAUCAAAAAUGAUUCCAGUGAUGCUGAUGGGAACGCUAAUUUAUGGUAUUAAGUACACACUUCCGGAGUAUCUUUGUACAUUUUUAGUUGCUGGAGGAGUGUCUACAUUUGCACUCUUAAAGACUAGCUCAAAGACUAUUAGCAAGUUGGCACAUCCCAAUGCACCACUUGGAUAUGGACUCUGCUUCCUGAACCUUGCAUUUGAUGGUUUCACGAAUGCCACUCAAGAUUCCAUUUCAACAAGGUACCCAAAAACAAGUGCAUGGGACAUAAUGUUGGGAAUGAAUCUUUGGGGUACAAUAUAUAACAUGAUUUAUAUGUUUGGGUGGCCGAAUGGCACUGGAUAUCAUGCCAUAGAAUUCUGUAGACAGCAUCCCGAGGCAGCGUGGGACAUUCUUCUGUAUUGUCUCUGUGGAGCAGUAGGCCAAAAUUUUAUCUUCCUAACAAUAAGUCGAUUCGGUUCCCUUGCUAAUACCACCAUUACCACAACUCGCAAGUUUGUCAGCAUCGUGGUGUCCUCUAUGCUCAGUGGAAAUCCCCUGUCAUCGAAGCAGUGGGGCUGCGUUGUAAUGGUCUUCUCUGGGCUAUCAUAUCAAAUCUACCUCAAGUGGAGGAAGCUGCAAAAGUUGCAGAGAAAGAGAAAGACCACCUAACUAGGAAUUACAGUGUAAGCAAAGUUCAAUGGUCCUUGAAUUAGAGGGGCAUCAUGUUUUAUAGAGCGCAUUGGAAGUCAUAUGAACAAAGUUUUGACUCUCCCUUUUCUUUUACUUUUGUAUAAUCAGGCCUUGGAGGUGACCAGUGGAAGUCCCCUCCUCGAACCUAUAACUGAUUUUUCUUUUUUUUUCUAAGAGAAUGAAUUACUAGAAUCUUGAAAAGUGCUAAAUUGUUGAAAUCUUGUUGUGUUUCAUCGAUUUCUAGCUUCAGAUGGUUGAAUUAAGGUUAACACUUACAUGAAUUCAAUCAAUUAUCAUGGAUAAACGAAGGUGAGCGAGAAACGUUGAUGAUCCUUCCACUUUUCUGGAAACAAAAAUUCAAAUAUUGGCCUUGUUCCUCGAGAAAGUUGAUAGCAAUAAGUGGGCCUUUAUUUUGUAGGGAGUUCCCUCCUCUUUUACUUUCCACUUUUUGACUUUCCUCAUAACUAUACUUUGUCCUCUACCGCGACUGGCGGCCACCACCACCACCUCAAUUUAACACACCCUUCUCCCUCUGAGCUUCAAUUUUCAGUCUUUUUCAGCAGAGCCCGAGAACUGAGGGACAUUUGGAGAAGAGAAAGCAAGGUAGAGCGAUGAAUGCACACCAACAACAAAACACAUUCCAUUCAAAUCAUAUUUAUGUUUGUUACAUCAAAAAUCAGGUAUUCCAGCUGCCAAGGAUCUAAAAAUUGGAAUUACAUGCAUGGGGGAACUGAAUUCUGAGCUUGAAAAGGAAGAGCAUAUCAUGGGAAAAAUUAAUGGCAUCUAUAACCAAUGUCGGCUUUGAUCUAUUUUUUCCUCAACUGCUUGGGAUACUAUUGUUGAUCCAGUACUGUAUUCUGAACUGCCAGGAGACUCGUGGAGAUUGGGUUGUCUGCGAGCAGUGAAGUUGAUAAGGCCACAAAUAAUAAGUAGCUUCAAUCUGAAAAUUAUAGUAUGCAUGUUUUUGUUACCUCCAUUGGCUACCAUCAUUGCUACUCCUUAAAUCCUCCACUAAACCUUUAAUAUCUUCCACUUGAAAGUCGAUAUCCGGAGUUGCAUAUUUGGGUAUGUCAUUUUCUUUGCUUCGACGGAGGAAAUCUUGGAGAAUCUGAUUCAUAUUUAGUGGACUCAAGGAAUAAGAAAAACUACUAUAUGAAUGAAAAUAUCAGACAUCUUUGAGAA